rnacentral:rRNA from 1 species
UACGGGGGGGGGCAAGCGUUGUUCGGAAUUACUGGGCGUAAAGGGCUCGUAGGCGGCCAACUAAGUCGGACGUGAAAUCCCUCGGCUUAACCGGGGAACUGCGUCCGAUACUGGAUGGCUUGAGUUUGGGAGAGGGAUGCGGAAUUCCAGGUGUAGCGGUGAAAAUGCGUAGAUAUCUGGAGGAACACCGGUGGCGAAGGCGGCAUCCUGGACCAACACUGACGCUGAGGAGCGAAAGCCAGGGGAGCAAACGGG